GCAGGCUUUUCCCCAGGAGGGAGAAGCCCCCAAGAGCUGCACACACGCUCCACACGGCUCGUGAAAGGGAGUGCGGCUCUUGGGGGCUUUUCCCGCCUGCCUCCCGGUU